UAGGGAAUCUUCCACAAUGGACGCAAGUCUGAUGGAGCAACGCCGCGUGAGUGAAGAAGGUCUUCGGAUCGUAAAGCUCUGUUGUUGGUGAAGAAGGAUAGAGGCAGUAACUGGUCUUUAUUUGACGGUAAUCAACCAGAAAGUCACGGCCAACUACGUGCCAGCAGCCGCGGUAAUACGUAGGUGGCAAGCGUUGUCCGGAUUUAUUGGGCGUAAAGCGAGCGCAGGCGGAAUGAUAAGUCUGAUGUGAAAGCCCACGGCUCAACCGUGGAACUGCAUCGGAAACUGUCAUUCUUGAGUGCAGAAGAGGAGAGUGGAACUCCAUGUGUAGCGGUGGAAUGCGUAGAUAUAUGGAAGAACACCAGUGGCGAAGGCGGCUCUCUGGUCUGCAACUGACGCUGAGGCUCGAAAGCAUGGGUAGCGAACAGGAUUAGAUACCCUGGUAGUCCAUGCCGUAAACGAUGAGCGCUAGGUGUUGGGGACUUUCCGGUCCUCAGUGCCGCAGCAAACGCAUUAAGCGCUCCGCCUGGGGAGUACGACCGCAAGGUUGAAACG
rnacentral:rRNA from 1 species